CAUGGAUGUUCGCAACCCGUCAAACCAGAUCAUGUCCGGUCCGUAAUUGUCGAUGACUUCGGUGAUUUUGGCCCGCCAUUGCUCUGAAAAUCCCUCGGCGGCGCCGGUCUCUUCGUUCCAGUAGAAGUCCGCAUACUGCGGGUCGAAGACGUCCCACGUCUUGCGCAUCCGG
rnacentral:rRNA from 1 species